rnacentral:rRNA from 1 species
UCACGGUAUGCUUAGUACGGCGAGUGAGCGGCAAAAGCUCAAAUUUGAAAUCUGGUACCUUCGGUGCCCGAGUUGUAAUUUGGAGAGGGCAACUUUGGGGCCGUUCCUUGUCUAUGUUCCUUGGAACAGGACGUCAUAGAGGGUGAGAAUCCCGUGUGGCGAGGAGUGCGGUUCUUUGUAAAGUGCCUUCGAAGAGUCGAGUUGUUUGGGAAUGCAGCUCUAAGUGGGUGGUAAAUUCCAUCUAAAGCUAAAUAUUGGCGAGAGACCGAUAGCGAACAAGUACAGUGAUGGAAAGAUGAAAAGAACUUUGAAAAGAGAGUGAAAAAGUACGUGAAAUUGUUGAAAGGGAAGGGCAUUUGAUCAGACAUGGUGUUUUGUGCCCUCUGCUCCUUGUGGGUAGGGGAAUCUCGCAUUUCACUGGGCCAGCAUCAGUUUUGGUGGCAGGAUAAAUCCAUAGGAAUGUAGCUUGCCUCGGUAAGUAUUAUAGCCUGUGGGAAUACUGCCAGCUGGGACUGAGGACUGCGACGUAAGUCAAGGAUGCUGCAUACAUC